rnacentral:lncRNA from 1 species
CCAAGUAGAGUACAGACUCACUGAAAAAGCUUGGCAAGUUCAGGACAUGAUAUCUACCUGAAAUCUCAUUACUUCCAUUGAACUAAAACACAGAUUUUGUAUGCACAUGAUAUCAUGUUUAACGAAAUUACCACAUGAAGAUAUAUCUGGAAUUUAUUAACCUAUUUAUCGUGUUGACUUUGCUAUAAGUAUUUUGUAUAAGGCUCAUUUAGCAUUCACUUUCCUGCAUAUCAACCACUUCUUAUUCUUAUCUUAUCCUCUGUAAAAAUCUUAUCCAGCAU